rnacentral:rRNA from 1 species
AGUACGUUAAGUCGGUAAUUACGUGGGACGUAAAGCGCAUGCAGGUGUUUGUUAAGUCAGAUGUGAAAGCCCGGGGCUCAACCUCGGAAUAGCAUUUGAAACUGGCAGACUAGAGUACUGUAGAGGGGGGUAGAAUUUCAGGUGUAGCGGUGAAAUUCGUAGAUAUUCGGAGGAAUACCAGUGGCGAAGGCGGCCCCCUGGACAAAGACUGACACUCAGAUGCGAAAGCGUGGGGAGCAAACAGGAUUAGAUACCCUGGUAG